UACGGAGGGUGCAAGCGUUGCUCGGAAUUAUUGGGCGUAAAGAGCGUGUAGGCGGUUCGGUAAGUCUGCCGUGAAAACCUGAGGCUCAACCUCGGGCGUGCGGUGGAUACUGCCGGGCUAGAGGACGGUAGAGGCGAGUGGAAUUCCCGGUGUAGCGGUGAAAUGCGCAGAUAUCGGGAGGAAUACCAGUGGCGAAAGGGCGGGCCUUCGUCGGAGGCCCGUUCGACGAACCUGGACGCGUAGGAGGGCGAAACCUGAAAGGGGAGCCGUACGGGGGAAGGGCAAAACAUUGGAAUUG
rnacentral:rRNA from 1 species